GCCCUGCCUUGGAGCGGGGGCAGUGUCCCCGACGGCUGCACCGGCUAGGCAGCAGGUGGGGAGGAAAAGCUUGUUCAUCUCUGGUGCUGCUUGGCUAAAACCCGAGCGGUGUUUUUAAGAGCGAGCAACAGGC